CUUUAAAUCUAGCCACUUAGCUAGCAAGUUAGCAAACCAAAUAAAUGUAUUUGACACAUCUUAGAUUUCUUAUACUUAUAAGCAGUAUAGUCUCGCGUUGUCAUACUUCCAAAAUCACGUUGUUGUCACGCCUCCCUUGGAGGUCUGGAGAAUUUAGCAUUGCAAAAACGUUUUGAAUUGAAUGUUACAUUUCAAGAACCCUCCCCCCACACGCCCGUUGAAGUUAUGUUCGUCACUGUUUUCCGACCGGGUAGGACACAUUUUGUAUGAAGUUGUUCCGUAUGCUAGUUAGUUUUCAACAUUGGAGAAAAUAUAAGAAAAUAUGGAGGAAAAUGUGUAUUCUGUUUAUUCAGAAGUGUGCUCUAAACACAAAAUCGAGUCGAUGAAGGCAUUACAACUCCUCAGCUUGAACAAUCUACAAAAGAAAAUAUAUAUUUUGGUGUGUCUACCUACAGGCAAUGGUACAAGUUUAGUGUAUCAAGUGUGGCCGACAGGCUGCGAUUUAUUGAAAUUGAAAGUGGAGAAAUCGAUGGUAAUAGUAGUUUCUCCUCUGAUGUCACUGAUCGAGGAUCAGGUUCGUGUUCUGAACUCUCAAGGAAUCCGUUUACACGGGUCAAAGAGGGAAGGAGUGACGAGAAAAUUCCCAAGGGUGAAUACACGAUUGUCUUCGGGACUCCUGAAACUUUUGUUGGCUCAGAGAAAUGCCAUGCCUACUUCAAACGUCAUUGAUCCGCGAGCAUCUCAUUGGAAUGGCUGUCGAAGAGGUCCACACUGUGGUUCAAUGGGGUAAGGCACAGGGGAAGGAGGCUGCUUUUCGGAAGUGGUGGAGAAUGGUUGGCGAGAUGCGGUCACUCCUACCAGUUCCUGUAUUGGCCGUCACAGCUACAGUUUCCAAGGCUACAAGGAAGAGCAUAAUGAAGCAGCUGGGCAUGCAGCAAUGUGUUGAGGUGGUGAAAAGUCCUGACACUGACAACAUCAGACAGGCACUGAAGAAAGAAGGUGUCGUCUGACCCUGUAGAGAAGUUUUCAUGGUUGCUCACAAGAGUUGGAGUCAAAGGGGCCUGAGAUCCCAAGGACUGUCAUAUACUGUUACUGUCCUGCUUUUCAGCAUUUCCUUGGAGAAAUCUGUGCAUCCAGCAGGAGCAGAGGACACACAGGAAAACAGGCUUUUUGACAUUUACCACUCGGAACUGCACAUCAUCGCAGCCUUGAAAGAUGAGUCAUCUAAUCUCAGAGUUCUGAUGGCUACUUCAGCAUUAGGAAUGGGGGUAGACUUUAAGGGUGUCCAUCAUGUAGUCAGCUAUGGACCACCUCAAGACCUUGAGUCCUACAUGCAGGCGUAUGGAAGAGCAGGGAGGGACGGCACAAACUCACAUUCACUUAUCCUGCACCGUGGAAGACAGCUUGUUGAUGAGACUGUAUGUGUCAAACAGUACCAGCUGCAGGCGGGUGAAACUGUUACAGCUCUUUGAUGAUGAGGUCACGCAACCAAUAUCACCCAAACAUGACUGCUGUGACAACUGUGCUACCUCAAGCAACUGCAAGGACGUAUGUGAGGGAAAUUCAAGUCCUUUGGAGGCAUGCAGGACAACAACUACAACCAAGACACAGGCUGGUCAGUGAAGAGCAUGGGCAAUACCUGAGAGAGAAAUCACAUGACCUUGCACUUGAGAUGGCACACACAGGUGUUUCAUGGGAGUCUCUGUUUAUUACUCCUCAGCCAGUGAGGGUAACCCUGACAAAAUCAUCGACAACAGUCUGAGCGCAAUUCCCUUAUUUUUUCCUCAAUUCAGAAAAGUAAGUCUGCUCUGCCCAUGCUCUGUAUAUCAUCACUGAGGUUUUUGGGGAUGAUGAACACCUUGAGUGAUGAUUAUAAUGACGAUUUAGUGUUGGGAGGAACUUGGGGCUUUUGCAAAAAUGUCUGUGUAUACAUCAGUCCUUUUAGAUGUGAUGUUGAUAAAUACUGUAUGUAUUGUCUCAUCUGCUUAAAAUACUUAUGGUAUGUAGUCUAGGAUAUUAUUGUUGUGGAAACAGAGUAGAAUGUAUGCCAUACACACACACAGUAAAUGAAUAAUUUAUCUUAAAUAUUUGUUCUAAUACUCAUUUUCAGUUGGACCCUAUCUAAAGUGUAGAGUGGGCCCAGAUGUGACCUGUCACCCAUAGCAUUUUUGAAUCUUUCACUUUUCUCCUUCACUUGACUUCAAUAAAUAAUCAAGAUUUGGAAACAUCAA